rnacentral:rRNA from 1 species
AUUGAACGCUGGCGGCAUGCCUUACACAUGCAAGUCGAACGGCAGCACGGGUGCUUGCACCUGGUGGCGAGUGGCGAACGGGUGAGUAAUACAUCGGAACGUACCUUAUCGUGGGGGAUAACGCAGCGAAAGUUGCGCUAAUACCGCAUACGCCCUGAGGGGGAAAGCGGGGGACCGUAAGGCCUCGCGCGAUUAGAGCGGCCGAUGUCUGAUUAGCUUGUUGGUGAGGUAAAAGCUCACCAAGGCGAUGAUCAGUAGCUGGUCUGAGAGGACGAUCAGCCACACUGGGACUGAGACACGGCCCAGACUCCUACGGGAGGCAGCAGUGGGGAAUUUUGGACAAUAGGGGCAACUCUGAUCCAGCAAUGCCGCGUGAGUGAAGAAGGCCUUCGGGUUGUAAAGCUCUUUUGUCAGGGAAGAAACAGCAGCUCUAACACAGUCUGCGAAUGACGGUACCUGAAGAAUAAGCACCGGCUAACUACGUGCCAGCAGCCGCAGUAA